UAAAUCCAACCCGGACAAAGGUUAACCACCAACCGGAACUGAACCCGACGUACGGAGAGGUAACAAACCGGGCGAAGCUUGGGGAAUGGAUGUAUCAGGCCGUAAUAUUGAUAAAAUGUGAAUGUAUUGAGCCCCGAAAAUUUUAUACCGCAGAGGUCGACACAGUCUGUUAUGUGGGAAGACAGCACUACUGAGGCGUCCGAUAAAGGUGAGGAACGAGUAGCUCUGCCGGAGUCUUAGGCAA
rfam:Candidate division TM6 bacterium GW2011_GWF2_30_66 TR12_C0049, whole genome shotgun sequence.